UAGGUCUCAGUUCAGAUUGCAGGCUGCAACCCGCCUGCAUGAAGUCGGAAUUGCUAGUAAUCGCGGAUCAGCAUGCCGCGGUGAAUACGUUCCCGGGCCUUGUACACACCGCCCGCCACACCAUGGGAGCCGGUAAUACCCGAAGUCAGUAGUCCAACCUCGUGAGGACGCCGCCGAAGGUAGGAUUGGCGACUGGGGUGAAGUCGUAACAAGGUACC
rnacentral:rRNA from 1 species